CUUUUCAAUCCGUGCUGAGAUUUCGUCAGACACCAACCCGUUAGGGUUGAUCAGACUUCCAAGAUAAAUGAAAAU
rnacentral:pre_miRNA from 1 species